AAACUUUCAACAACGGAUCUCUUGGUUCCGGCAUCGAUGAAGAACGCAGCGAAAUGCGAUAACUAAUGUGAAUUGCAGAAUUCAGUGAAUCAUCGAGUCUUUGAACGCACAUU
rnacentral:rRNA from 5 species